rnacentral:rRNA from 1 species
AGAGUUUGAUCAUGGCUCAGAACGAACGCUGGCGGCAGGCCUAACACAUGCAAGUCGAACGCCCCGCAAGGGGAGUGGCAGACGGGUGAGUAACGCGUGGGAACAUGCCCUUCGGUUCGGAAUAACCCAGGGAAACUUGGGCUAAUACCGGAUACGUCCGAGAGGAGAAAGAUUUAUCGCCGAAGGAUUGGCCCGCGUCC